rnacentral:rRNA from 1 species
GGUAGUCCACGCCGUAAACGAUGCGAACUGGAUGUUGGGUGCAAUUUGGCACGCAGUAUCGAAGCUAACGCGUUAAGUUCGCCGCCUGGGGAGUACGGUCGCAAGACUGAAACUCAAAGGAAUUGACGGGGGCCCGCACAAGGGUUUGUAGUAUGUGGUUUAAUUCGAUGCAACCGAAGAACCUUACCUACUCUUGACAUCCAGAGAACUUUCCAGAGAUGGAUUGGUGCCUUCGGGAACUCUGAGACAGGUGCUGCAUGGCUGUCGUCAGCUCGUGUUGUGAAAUGUUGGGUUAAGUCCCGCAACGAGCGCAACCCUUAUCCUUUGUUGCCAGCGGUCCGGCCGGGAACUCAAAGGAGACUGCCAGUGAUAAACUGGAGGAAGGUGGGGAUGACGUCAAGUCAUCAUGGCCCUUACGAGUAGGGCUACACACGUGCUACAAUGGCGCAUACAAAGAGAAGCGACCUCGCGAGAGCAAGCGGACCUCAUAAAGUGCGUCGUAGUCCGGAUUGGAGUCUGCAACUCGACUCCAUGAAGUCGGAAUCGCUAGUAAUCGUAGAUCAGAAUGCUACGGUGAAUACGUUCCCGGGCCUUGUACACACCGCCCGUCACACCAUGGGAGUGGGUUGCAAAAGAAGUAGGUAGCUAAACUUCGGGAGGGCGCUUACCACUUUGUGAUUCAUGACUGGGGUGAAGUCGUAACAAGGUAACC